ACCCGCUGAACUUAAGCAUAUCAAUAAGCGGAGGAAAAGAAACCAACAGGGAUUGCCCUAGUAACGGCGAGUGAAGCGGCAAGAGCUCAAAUUUGAAAUCUGGCCCCCUUGGGGGUCCGAGUUGUAAUUUGCAGAGGGUGCUUUGGCGUUGGCUGUGGUCUAAGUUCCUUGGAACAGGACGUCGCAGAGGGUGAGAAUCCCGUAUGUGGCCGCCAGCCUCCGCCGUGUAAAGCCCCUUCGACGAGUCGAGUUGUUUGGGAAUGCAGCUCUAAAUGGGAGGUAAAUUUCUUCUAAAGCUAAAUACUGGCCAGAGACCGAUAGCGCACAAGUAGAGUGAUCGAAAGAUGAAAAGCACUUUGGAAAGAGAGUCAAAAAGCACGUGAAAUUGUUGAAAGGGAAGCGCUUGCAGCCAGACUUGCCUGUAGUUGCUCUUCCGGGCUCUUGCCCGGUGCACUCUUCUGCGGGCAGGCCAGCAUCAGUCCGGGCGGUUGGAUAAAUGCCUGCUAAAUGUACCUCUCCUCGGGGAGGACUUAUAGGGCAGGCGGCAUACAACCAGCCUGGACUGAGGUCCGCGCAUCUGCUAGGAUGCUGGCGUAAUGGCUGU
rnacentral:rRNA from 1 species